rnacentral:miRNA from 1 species
ACCUUUGGCGAUAUGUGGAGCG